rnacentral:rRNA from 1 species
UACGGAGGGUGCAAGCGUUAUCCGGAAUCAUUGGGUUUAAAGGGUCCGCAGGCGGUCUUAUAAGUCAGUGGUGGAAGCCUACAGCUCAACUGUAGAACUGCCAUUGAUACUGUAAGACUUGAAUUCGGUCGAAGUGGGCGGAAUAUGACAUGUAGCGGUGAAAUGCUUAGAUAUGUCAUAGAACACCGAUAGCGAAGGCAGCUCACUAGGCCUGGAUUGACGCUCAGGGACGAAAGCGUGGGGAGCGAACAGG